rnacentral:rRNA from 1 species
UACGUAGGCAGCAAGCGUUGUUCGGAGUUACUGGGCGUAAAGGGUGUGUAGGCGGUUGGAUAAGUGUGGUGUGAAAUCUCCCGGCUCAACUGGGAGGGUGCGCUACAAACUGUCUGACUAGAGUGUGGGAUGGGUAAGUGGAAUUCCUGGUGUAGCGGUGAAAUGCGUAGAUAUCAGGAGGAACACCGGUGGCGAAGGCGG